rfam:Suillus luteus TH-Slu-Lm8-n1 unplaced genomic scaffold CY34scaffold_148, whole genome shotgun sequence.
GCCCUGAUGGCUCAGUUGGUUAGAGCGCAGGUCUCAUAUUAUAAAUAUGACCGAGUAUAUUCGGGCAAUCCUGAGGUCGCAAGUUCGAACCUUGCUCAGGGCA